ensembl:lncRNA
GUACCAAACAAUAAAAGAAUCAAUCCCAACAGUACAAUGCAAAUAAAAUUAAAACAAUGCAAAUAUUAAGAACUACAAGGUUGCAUUGUUGUAAGAGAUACACUUGCAGUGGUUUUCAGUCAAAGCGUAAUCAGGGAAUCAAAAAUGUACAUACAGGUUCAGCACAUUUUUAUUUUAUACCAGAAAUUAUUCAAAAUGUCUCACAAUUCCACCUUUCCAUUAUGUCUUGAAACAAGUUUAAAUUCAUGGUCGAUUAGGCAGGUAUUUAUUUAAGUUCAUGUUAACCGCCUGGCUCAUUGUGUCAUGUUAUUUAUCUGUAUGAGAGGCACCACAUUAUCCCUUGGGACGACAGGUGCUUGGCAGCUGCCAAGCACCCCCCCCCCCCCCCCCCUCCGGUGGUGGUGUUGACCACUGUAUCAGGUAAAGAGGCAACAGGACGCCUGCCUUCAUAAUCCUGAGGAUCUCAAAUACCAAGGAGGAACACCAGCAAACACCAGAAAUAAGAGAAACUGACUAACAAGCUAACCAGCACAUUGCUUUAUGUUGGUCAACGUUUAAUCCCUCCAUGAUAACGUGUCUGUGACAUAAAUUCACAGCACGAGUUCCCGACCUCUUCUGCCCGUGAACCCGACUUCUUACCUUUCUUCGCAUCUGCUUCCACACACAAUCAUCCCAUGCCCUCGUGAUGUCAGAGUGAAGUCAUGCGCACCGCACCUCACUGAAUGAUGACGAUUACAUUGUUUGUUGCAUUAGGCAGAAUGCCUAAUGCAUUCUGCAUUAGGCAAAAGCUCCUGUUUGUAUUGAGGAGCUUUAUGUUGUAUGAGACCUUUCAGAACUCUUCGAUAUAGUAAUAUCGUUUCGGAGCCAGAUUUGCACAAUUUCUCCUUUUGAUAGAUUUGCAUGAACUGUGAAGUCUCCAUAUUUUUUUAUAUUUCCUCAACUAAAAUCGAAUCAUUAGCUUUGCCUGGGCGUUUUCUUUGGCGGUUCUUAUUGUCAGUCUGAAGGGCUUUCAUAAAAUAAUGAUAUCCACAUCGAAUUAAACUACUCCCAAUCAUACAAAACCAUGUUUUGAAAUCUAUUUCCUCAAAUCAUUUAUUUUCCAUCCAACAUGUUACACUUUAUUUUCUAUACACUACAGGUAACACACACUAAAGCUUAGUAAAGAGGUGGAAUUUAACAGCUUAAUUCAUUCAAUAGGAAAGCACUAAGUGGCCAAGUUUAAAUAGUCGAGUACAUAUGCUCAUCUUAAUUUGCAUUCCCUUUGGUCAGCUUUAGUACCUUAAACUGUACAACAUCCCUAAUCAUGAGUUUGUUCUUCGAUUUUUCUUUUUUAACCCCUUAAUCCUCAAGAGUCGAAGUGGUCCGACACUUUUCAUUGGCUACAAAAGGCAAUAAAGACGUGCUGCCAAAGCGGAUGAAGAAACAGCGAUCUCUAGUGGUCAAUCACUGCCAAAGAAACUGAACCCAGGAACAGGAUCAGCGAGCCGAUGAGCCGGCUGUGUCCGUUAGUUGUCGUCAUUCCGGUGGCCACAGAGCCUGGAUUGGCUGCUACUGUCGUCGUUCUGCUUGCCCCAAACGUGGUAAGGGCAACUGCAGAUGUCAUUUGGGUUGCCGCAGAAGUCAUUUGGGUUGGCCCAGCCGUUUGGCUAGCCCCAGCUGUUUGGUUAGCCCCAGCCGUUUCGGUAGCCCCAGCCGUUUGGUUAGCCCAAGCCGUUUCGGUAGCAUGAGUUGUCGUUGGAGUAGUUUUGGAGGACACGGCGGUGGUCAUGUUGUCGCUCUGUGUAGUUGCUUCUGAGGAUACUGAUGACAAAGACUACAAACAGACAAAGGAAAUUUAGCACAUAAAGAUUGGAUCCAUGACAUAUUAAUCAUGGUGGAUCUAGGAUAGAAUAUCACACAGAGGUGGGUACACAUCAAGCGAUCAAUUGGCUGCUCAAACAACUUGUCCACCCGCAGCAAAUAUUGUAUUGAACGUAUGGCAGCUGAUAAACCCGUUUUGACAGAACCCUAUUUUCCGUGUGUAGAAAAGAACAGACAUGAAUGAGAGCUGCCUUUGUAAAGGUUACAAACUCAGGACUUUACCUGCGCCAGAAGAGCCAAUGAGCAUAGCCAAAAUGACAGGAACAUGGCUCUGAAGGUGAUGAAUGAUGAUGAUGAUGAAGAAGAUGAAAAUAAAAUAGUGGAAUCUCCUUCCCCUGAUUUAUCCUCAGCGUUCAGGUGCUUCUCCGCCUUUAGGUACCAGUGGUCACAGGAUUUGUGUUCAUGUGCGCGUGUGCAUGUGAAGCUGGGCAGUUUGAAACUAUUGUGUUUCUUAUCUGUUUGCUGAGGGCUUUUAUAGCCUUUCGAC